rnacentral:ncRNA from 1 species
AGAGUAAAGGUACAGGCGUUGGCGAAAGCCGAAGUGCCGCGCGGACGGGGAGUUGCCGUGCGGACGAAACAGACAGGGAAACGGAGACCGGGCGGGGAGAAAAACCGCCUGCUUUCCCCCGGGGUCUUGCGGUUUGUACCUUGCAUCCCGCU